CUCUUGCUGCUGCCAUGUAAGAAGUGCCUUUUGCCUCCUGCCAUGAUUCUGAGGCCUCCCCAGCCAUGUGGAACUGGCUCAGUGUGGUCAAAAGAAGACUAUAGAAUCAAGGAUGAAGAGAAGGAACACAGAAUAAAAGGACGUCUCAGCAGGAAGCUCUGUGACUACUAUGUGUGAGUGACCGAGCUGAAGAAGCCCCCGUCUUCCAGCGCAUGUUAUUCCCAUGACAGAUGCUAAAAGUUCAAGGGGAGAGCUACAAGAAGUGCGUUUUCCUGUGGCUACUUUCAUGUCUGGAUGCAAUGCCUAGACCUGCAUCCAUCUUGCGACCAACCUGAAGAUGAACAGAAAGGAAGGAAGGAUGGCCCAAUAGCCUGGGAAGAACUGGUGUUCCUGAUACCAUCAUUAACCACAGAAUCUACAAUCCCGGAACCCCCCAUCCUUAACCAUGGAAUCUACAAUCCUAUCUCUAGACCCUUUGUCCAGAUGCUACAGUUUCUUUGUUCAAUCUAGUUUGUGUCAGGAUUUCUGUUCAUUACAUCAAAAGUAUUCUAAUACUUGUAGCAAAGCAACUGGAGAAGUUUUCACUUUGUCUUUAACCAAAGAAGACUUCCAGGAAACAUCUCCUCAGUGGGUUUCUCCCUCACCACUGGAUUUUUAUCUCUGUACUAGUGCUUUGAUUUGUUUUAGGAGUCUCACCUCUCCACCUGUCAUAUUUCCCUGGCAGGCUCAUUUCUGCUAAUGCCCACAAUAUGUGUAUCAAUGAGCUUUCAACGUUAGGUACACAGCUCUUCAGGCAUGUAUAGCACAUUAAUCUGUCUGCUUCUAAGUGGUCUGUUGACAUGUUUGGGUGCCAGUUAUAUCUACAAGGCUGUGAUCAUUGUCCUGGGUUAUUCUGUUUGUUCUCUCUGCAGGAUGCAUUAGGACACCCAAGGCCAUGGCCAUCACUUACAUCUAGGAUUCAAUCUUAUCUCCUGUGAAUCACUGGAAACCUCCUGUCCUGGAACCCUUUUUUUCCACAUCCCACUGGAUGUCAUUCAUAGCAACUGGUCUUGUGGGUUGUCUAUUUUAUUGUGUUGUCUUACUCUUCCUCCUGGUAUCAGUUUUUAAAUCCUCUUGAUGAGAUCAGCUGAUCAGUCGCUAAGCAACAUAGUCCCCCAUGUCUUUGUAAGAUUCUCUGCACUCAUGGCUAGAAUGAUUUAUUCUGGUAUCUUAAGCUGUGUUUCAGAACCUCAUUCUAAAUAUCAACCUAUUCUUGUAAGUCCACUACUGAUCAUCUUUAGAUAUUCUUCAGUCUUCCAGAGUUCCAAAGGGCAGUAGGAAGAAGCAAUGAAAAUACCACCUGUAUUCUCACAUCUUUCAUUGUUCCACUCAAAAAAUACCACCAUGUUCACUUCUGGUGGAACGUUUAUGUCCAUGAGAAGCAGUGGCUUUGAAGAGUUUUGGCAGACUAUGGCGCCUUACUCAACAUUGGGAAGGUAUCUUGCCAUCAGACCUUUUGGGUCUCCAUGAAACUUCUUAUACCCCCUCUGGGAAAAGUCACUAACUGUGAUCUUACUGAGCUUCUAAACACAGCAUUUUUUUUACACUUAAGUGAGCGGGGGUCCUCCUCAUUUGUGCUUCUCUUCUUGUAAGGGUGACUUCCUCCCAGUAGGAUGAAUCUCAUGCCUAUUUGUGUUAUUUUGCUAAUUCCAGCUUCUUUUCUACUCAGGGGGGUUCCAACUCUUUUAAGGUCUCAUCUUCAGCACUUCUAAACUGUGGGAAACUAUGUGAAAACAAAUGGAGUGGCCAAACACACCAUUCAUCACUGUGCUUCUGGACAGCUGCAAGUCCAUACGUGUUCUGAUAAUUCAAUACAAGAAAGAAGAUUUGCUUGGGAAGGUCUGAAUGGCCCUAGCUUUGUUUGUUAACCAUAACCUCUACCAGCUGGAAACACAAUGCCCCACUAAUACUAACAGUGCCUGCUUGUCCAAACAGCAUUCUGGCCACUUACAGCAAUUGACACAAAUUCUAACAGGUCUGUUAAUGUUUUUCAGAUCCUAAACUUGUAGUAGAUUUUUAUGUUCUCUGCAAUCAGUUUUGCUUCAGCGGCCCUGCAGGUGUUUAUGCGUGCUGGCAUGCUAAAUCUCACCAUUCAAAAUAGUUUAUUUUUUACAACAAAAUCUGAAGAAUAAUUUCUUCAUUUUGUCAAAAAAUACCCCAUUCCUAUUAUUUUUCUCUUCUUUAUCUUCACAGGUAGAUGGGGCAAAGCAUUACCUUGUGUAAAACUGCUGCUAAAAUAUAUUCCUAGUGAGAAAGGUCAACUUGUGGGCUAAAGUCCUUGUCACCUCCUGAUCAGUUUUCACUUAGGGCACAGCAGUCUGCCAUUCACCAUUGGGAUCUCUGUGUGUUUCUUCUCUCUUAUGAAAGGACAUAUUGAGCGCUCUAGGACUUGGCUGCCUACAUCAAGUAGAGGGGGACCCUCAUGAUUCACUAAGGGGCCUCAGUUCUGAAUAUUUCUCAUUAUUCAAAAAUGCAAAGCCAUUGUCAUUACGUGGCAGUUUAUUGGAACCAAGGGAGGAAUUGGUCCCUUUUCAUGUUCUUCUCCUAAAUAGAGAAAAGGUAAUUAAAACUUGGAGCUUAAUAAGGGCCAUCUCUAUUUGAACAGCCUAAUACAAAUCCAUUCUCAAUACCUUUUUACACCUUGUCUGAACUGACUUCUACUGUGUACUCCACUGCAUGGGAAUUCUGGAACUUUAGAACGAAGGGAACUCAAUUCAUUCUAUAUAUAUCUCAUUCAUUCAUUUUUUUUUCAUUUGUUCACCAAAUGCUAACUCAAUACCUACGUAACAGAGAUAAUGUUCUUAUUGUCUGUAAAUCAGAAAAUGCAUGCAUUGAAUAAACGCCAUAUAUUCUUGGAAGCUGAGGGCUGAUAACUCAAGGUAAAUGAUCAGCUAGUCUCCUAUGAAAUAAGUAUCUUAUUUCAUGUUACAUGUAGAAAUGACCAUGCAACUUUAUCUUAAAGCCAGGCCUUAUUGAGAAAAAGGGGAUCCAAAUUCCAAAUGUUUCCUUACAUGCUGAGAGGAAACCUUGGAGGUCUGAGCGUGAGUCAUAGGUAGAGGGAAAUCAUGCUAAGAUAUAUAUUGUUUCCACCAGACAGGUAGAGGAAGCAGAGACCCUUUGGCAGAAGAGAUACAGAGAAGAGAGGAGGAGAGGUUCUGGCUUUACCGUUCAGGCUUGAAACCCCAAGUUUAGAUGGAUUGAGGGGGAAGCUUAAGGCAAACAUGACCCCUGGGCCAACACAGGCUAGAGGAACAAUGUAGAAAUGACCAUGUAACUUUAUAGGCAUGAAGAAGAUGCCUGUGAUGGCACUGAGUCUCCUGUGGCUCCCUUGUGUGCCCAAAUGCCUGAAGGAUGUGAGAGUAUUGGUUGUUAGAAUUUCAGGGAAUUCCACCAAGUGGGGAAUGACUCUGUAUUAAGGGCUGCAAAGAAAAGCUCCCAGGCCAAGCAUUGAGUGGGAGGUGCUACCUGCCCUCAGGGAUCCACAGGGACUUCAACAGCUGAUGUGGGGUCUCAUCAGCCUCAAGGUGGCCAAGUUUCUAUGCUGAGACUAUAGCCCACAGUUACACCAGCCAUGAUCCUCAGCAGCAGAGGUAGUGAUGAUGAAGUCUGAUGCCCAAAGACAAGCAGAACAAUAUGCACAGUUCCAGCCAAUGCCACGAGGUAGCCUUUGUACUUCCCUAUACCUAGCUGGGAGGGAGGAAGGAAGGAGAGAGGAGACUCCUAGGAAGAGGAGAAAAUAAUUAUCCCAAAGAGACUGACAUAACCUGGAAAAGACCGAGAACUACUAAUUAGCAAGAUAAAGUUCAUUUACCUCUUCCUGUUUCUUACCAAGAUGGUAUGUAUCCUUUCAGAUAAUAAAUAAAUUUAUGUUUUCUUGCCCUAUUUUAAUGUGAUUUAAAUGUUUCUUGUUUUUUCUGUUUUCAUUCAUAACAAAAAUUUUGUUCUCAGAGACACUGAGACAUGAGACACGAUGCUGGACUAUAUUGGGGGGGAGCACCUCAUCAUAUGGGCAAGAUAUUGCAGCAGCAUGUAGCCCUCCACGUCCUGACUGCUCACUUCUCUUUCGCCAUCCCCUAACACACGUAUUAGGCUUUUGCUAUGUUCAUUUAUCUAGCCCAUAAGCCACUCCUUCAGAGGGCAAUGCAUGGAAUUGGCAGCCUUGGUUCCCCACCAACUGACAGGGGUCUGGAAUUCAGGUGUUUCCAAAGACCUGCAGUCUUGGGGGCCUUAAUGCUUGCUGAGUAGCAGCACUUUCUAGGACUUUCCCUAUUGUACGUUUCAGUCCAUGCUUUUCUUUUUGUCUUGUCUCAGUGUUCUUCCCUGCUAGUCUGGUUCUCAACAAGACCCAAGCCCUGCAACACACCCAAAUCCCCUUGAUGGGAACCUGAUUUCCUACGUGGCUUUUCCCAGUCACCCCAUGCUCUCCCCACUCCCAUCUUUCCUGGUGAAUUGCUCCUUUCCUAAAUCUGUUGUGAAUAACAAUUUGGCCACAGUGCUAAAGCCUCUCACUCCUCACUUUAAAUUCCUUUGGGAAACAGUCAUUCAUGUUCAUUUUAGACAAUUUCCCUGUCCUGUGCGGACUCUUCUCAAGAAGUCUACUCCCAAAACUCCUGCUGAGGUAGGUCCAGGUCA
rnacentral:lncRNA from 10 species